GCCCUGUGAUGGGUUGGGACCCCGUCCUGGGUGUCCCCUGCCUUGUGCCCCAAGUCCCCUGGGAUAGGCUCCAGGCUCCCCGUGACCCUGUGUAGGAUAAACGGUACAGAAGAUGGAUGGAUGGAUGGAUGGUUCAGAUCACCUGGCCAGACUGGGUUUACAUCAGACCAGGUCCAUAUGACACUUGAGCGCUGUAAGUAUUUUUAUUGUCCAGCAAAUGUCAGUAUAGAGCCAGGGGUCAAGUGUUACUAUCUCAAAAGCUUCAUUCAGCCCAUCACUAAAUAUUCCCCCAAAUAUUUCAAUUCAAUUACAACAAGACGAUUUUAAUUUAGAACAUGAAUAAACUCAUUUCACAUCUCAGGCCAAGCAAGCAAGCAAUCACGAGUAUCCCUAUGGUAACACAGCUCUCAUCUGUGUACAUCCGGGGUUUUCUGCCUUGAUUGUGAUUCGCUGACGAAAAGGAAAAAAACAGCGAAAAACAGUUUAGUAGCCGACGGCGUUAGCCUGAUUAGCUUUGAAACUCAUUCUAAAGUUUACUUUAAAAAAAAAAAACAACAAGAACAACAAAACCAAACAAAAAAAAAACACAGGAACAUGAAAAAGAACUAAGUUUGAACUGGUGUUUUAUUUCAGUUCCGAGCCAGGGACUCGAAAACUAAUAACAAUCACCUACCACAAAAAUAAAUAAAUAAAUAAAAAUAAACAAAUUAAUUUAAAAAAUGGCGGUUUAACGGUUUAUCGCGCGGGAUCACGCGCACGCGCACUACUGCACUAACAGGCACAACAAACUGAAGUUUACCUCAGAGAGAGGGUUUGUUCAGUCUCAUCCAGCCCUGGAGAUUUACUCUUGCAUGAAGUGGUAGAUUACAUGUUGGGGUGGAUGGAGAUGAGGAGGAAGACCAUCUGUUCUAAUAUAGAGAGAAGUAUCCCAUUAAGUAAAACAGAAGUUGAGGCUUUAAUCAGAAUGGCUGGCUAUAAAAAGAAAGUUUGGGAAGAGGAAGAAAGGGGAAGAUAUUUGUAUCUUAUGCAAAAAACAGGUUGGUAGUGAAAGAAGAAAUUUUGGUAACAGAUGAGAAGAUACAGAUUAUAGCUAGACUUCGGCUUGGGCGUUCUGCUUUAAACUAUUCUCUGUAUAAAAUUGAGAAAUAUGAAUCUGGAAACUGCAGUAAAUGUGGAUCAGCAGAAACAGUUCAGCAUGUUACAAGAGAGGUUUUUAAAAUUCAGUGUGGCUUGAAUAAAUGCGACUCCCAGUAACUUUGGGAAUGAUUUGUAAAAUAAAUGAAUAAAACAAAAAGAGGAGGUUGUGAGUUUCUCUCACGACCCCAUUUCUAAAUCAAGUGGGCCCUAGUUUAGGAUGCGCUGUCUUAGGGAGAGCUUGUAACAGUGUCCAGUGGUCUCUAAUGGUUUCGAUCUUGACUACAAUAACUAUAGAACGUAAUUCCAAAAUUGUGACACAGUGUGACUUAGGGCUAGUGGGAAAAUAUGUAGAGCUAAGGUAGGCAGUUAAUACAUAUCUCAAAGAUCAAGAGGUCUUGGUCAGAGCUGCGGUUGUCAGUAUGGUUAGGUAGGAGUGGCGUGACAAGCAAUUUUUAAAAAAAAAUACUAUAAACAAAUUAUAUCUUGGCUAAAUGUGUAUUGUUGUUCUUUGAUAGCUUGGUGAGAAUGUGCCUACAACUUCAAGCGCAAACGUAUCUGUAAAUCAAAUCAUCUCUGUGGACCAAAUGAAUGGAAGCUACAUAAACGAUCCUAUAAAAAGAAGAACCUGAAGAUGAAGAAUACCUCUGUAAUACAAGUGGAGGGACAACCAUCUCUGUGGUUCACGUCACUCCUGUGGAACAGCACAAUGAAGGAUUCCAGAAAAAUCUUCUAAAAAAGGAAGAACCUGAAGAUGAAGAAUACCUCUGUAAUACAAAUGAAUAUAAAUAACAUUUUCAGUAAUAAUUUGAUUUAUUUAGCCUGGCUAAGCCUAAUUACCGAAUGGAAAACCUGUCACACAACAGGGGUCGGAUGCACCAGCUGGACGUAAAAUAUGCCUUGCCUCCUACAUAGAGCUAAUACCUGUUGCACCAUCUAGGCGUAGUGCUAUGUCUUAGACUAAAUCUUACGCCUAGUCAAAGGUAAAGUGAAAAGUCUCGACUAGUUUCCAAAAUGAAAAUUUUGCACCAUGUAACGGAUAGAAACGGAGCGCUGUUUCCAUUUUUCCUUCACUUCGUCAACUGUCUCACUUCCUAAUCCACCCUCUGCUCCAUUGACCGCCGCUUGAUCAUCUGCCAGACAUCUUGUUUUUUUCUUAUUUUCUUAUUAGGUCUUAUUUUUCUUUUUCUUAUUGGUUAUGGCAUUGUUUUGCCUGCAUACUAAAAUAUGCAAAUAGUUACCGUACAGUUCGAUAAUUUUUCUUGUUUCACAAUCUGAGUAGUUAAUUAAUUAAUUAAUUUUCAUUUCUUCGUUUCAGAGGUUAUUUUUAUUCUAUUCAUUGUCACCAGUAAAUUUGAGAUUGUAACCCUAGCAACGUGAAUAGCAUGGAAGCUUACACUGUACAGCUCUGUAUACUUCUAUACACAAACAGUUGCACAAUGAGAAAACAAUUUUUUGCACACUACAGCUCUGUAUAUGUUUUUGUUUUUUUUUGUUUUUUUUAAACAUAUUCUAUUUAUGCAUAUUCAUAUUCUACAUUUCAUUCCUCUAAAGGCUGCUAAACUUAUCAUAUAGUCUACUAGAUUUUAUUAUAUGCUGUUUUUAUUAUGUAUCAUUGUUGCAUUGUGGGAGGAGGCAUUAAGGAAAAACAUUUCACUACAUUACAUUCCAGCUGGUUAUGUGCCAAUUAGGACAGAGGUCAGCGUGGGAACAGCUAUAGAGAGCAAUGAAUAAAGUCCAUGCUGGUGAACAGAUCUACUAAUCCCACAUUAUCACCUCAUAUGCCCAAACCAAAGCAUGCUGAAACACCUCCAGACACAAACACCACUCCAUUCACACAAUUACUGUACAAUAACUAGCUCAACUCGUAGAGUUUAAGCAGCAGAGGCCUGUGUGGUGGGAAAACUCCAGUAACUGGUCGACAAGAGGAAAGAGUGGCCUGGACUCUGAGUGGUUUAUCAGUAUGUUUUAAUAAAGAUAUUUUAAAAAUACAAUUGGCAUUGUGCUAUUACUUUAGACAGAACAUGUUUAGCACAGAAAUCACAGUAAUUCCAGUGGGUUCACAGACCCAAGGUAUGAAGUAUGUGUACAUUUUCUGGGAUAGUUAUUAAUGUAGAUGCAGGGGCAG